CCCAGACUCCUACGGGAGGCAGCAGUGGGGAAUAUUGGACAAUGGGGGGAACCCUGAUCCAGCGACGCCGCGUGAGUGAAGAAGUAUUUCGGUAUGUAAAGCUCUAUCAGCAGGGAAGAAAAUGACGGUACCUGAGUAAGAAGCCCCGGCUAACUACGUGCCAGCAGCCGCGGUGAUACGUAGGGGGCAAGCGUUAUCCGGAGUUACUGGGUGUAAAGGGAGCGUAGACGGCCAUGCAAGCCAGGGGUGAAAGCCCGGGGCCCAACCCCGGGACUGCCCUUGGAACUGCAUGGCUGGAGUGCGGGAGGGGCAGGCGGAAUUCCUGGUGUAGCGGUGAAAUGCGUAGAUAUCAGGAGGAACACCGGCGGCGAAGGCGGCUUACUGGACAGUAACUGACGUUGAGGCUCGAAAGCGUGGGGAGCAAACAGGAUUAGAUACCCUCGUACU
rnacentral:rRNA from 1 species